rnacentral:rRNA from 1 species
CCCUUAGAUGUUCUGGGCCGCACGCGCGCUACACUGAUGCAUUCAACAAGCCUUGCCUUGACCGAGAGGUCCGGGUAAUCUUUGAAACUGCAUCGUGAUGGGGCUAGAUUAUUGCAAUUAUUAAUCUUCAACGAGGAAUGCCUAGUAAGCGUGAUUCAUCAAAUCGCGUUGAUUACGUCCCUGCCCUUUGUACACACCGCCCGUCGCUCCUACCGAUUGAAUGUGUUGGUGAGGAGCUCGGAUUGGCAGCAGUUGGUGGUUCGCCACCGGCUAUUGCUGAGAAGUCCUCCAAACCGCCCCAUUUAGAGGAAGGAGAAGUCGUAACA